CCCUCAAGUUAUGGUUGAUACGCUGCAAACGGGAUAUGCAUAGAUACAAUGAAGCAACACAAAUUUCUGUUUAAACACAAUACGUUACGCAGUUACAUACAGUAAAGAGCAAAAGUAAAAGUGGACAUGGCUGCGCCGAGCUGAAGACCGUGAGUCUUCAGGAAGAUUGUUGCGGGGCAUCAUAAAUCAGAGCGUGAAGGCUGUACGUAAAAGUUUACUGUGUACCGAGGAUGUUAAUUUCCGUGUUGCAUGCGAUGUUAAGCACAGAGUAGAAGUUUCAAACAAUGAUUCAGUUUGCAACUUUUUCUCGUUCGUCCCUAUUAUGUUUUCAUAGGUCCAAUUUCAUAUUUGGUGUUUGUUCUCUUUGAGUUUCUUUGAUAUCUCUAGGAUUGUUUUGAUCAAUACCUUCUCCGAUACCGCUGUUGAGCAGGACGCCCCAGGCGAACCAUAUUGCGCUGGACAAGUUGAGGGCAUCCUCUUCGGUACCGUCAGUGUUUGCUAGCUUGAACCUCCCGAAGGGCGAGAACCGGUCGAGGAGGUACAGAACUAGAGCCACUACGUGCACCGACACCAUCACCAGUAUCCAAAGUGUGUUGCUGAAUGGUUGCAGAAACGAUACCAGGGUCGACGAUCUUGAAGGCUGAGCGUCCAGAUUUAUUUUGUACAAGAAUCUGCAGAGUAAUUUAUUACGAGUUCAAGAUCAUACCUUUUUCUCGAGAAUAGUGAUGCCCUGGUACUUGAAAGGCUUGCUGAACUCGAUGAACUCCGCGCGUUCUGGAUUGAUGGUUAAAGGAGCAACGAUCAUGUCGGCUCUUUCGUUGACUAUUUCCCCUAUGAGUCCCGUCCACUCUUUCUUGCCGCCUGAUACAGCAUUCACUAAUGAAGUAUUUUGUUUCUACUGGUGAAAUUGAUAUAAUUGCGUCUAAAAAACAAUUUUCAACCUGA